rnacentral:lncRNA from 10 species
AGAAAUACAACAGAAUAUUUAACAUAACAUGGAUAAACUAAGGGUAUAUAGAAGGAUGUAAAAAGUGUUUUAAGAGCCCAGAGGGAGGAGGUUGGGAAAAGUUUCCCUCCAAAGAUGACAUUUGAACUGUUGCCUGGGGGAUAAAUAUGAGUGUGAUUGAGGAGUGGAGUAGAUCACAAACAGAAAGUAAAACCUCACAGAGCUCCAGGCUAGAAGAAUCCUUGGCUUGUAUCCUGAAUGUCAGCAAGCUCCUGGCAUUGCCAUCUAAAGGUUGCUGUGGUCCUUCAUGUAACACUAGCAAGCUGGAGGACUCAUUUGAGAACUGUGAUUUGAAAGGACUACUUUAGAUGGCAUAUUAAAUAGCACAAAAACAAAAUUAAAUAUUGCCCCUCACUUUUGCAUAUGGCACAGAACCAAGACUCUCCUUCAUUCUUAACUGGGCCCUGAGUUAAAUUAGUUCCUUGUGUGCCAGGUUUUUUCUUUUUUUUAGUUUUGCAGUUCAUUCUGUACAGCCACAGAAAUAAAUGAAUAAUAAAAGCCGAACUAAGUCUUACCAGAAAAACACAACAGGAUUCAAAAAGGAGGUAAUUAAAUCUCUCAACUCUUAUGAGGCAAACAUUUAAAAACUAUGAAGAUAUUGGUCUCCCUUUUAUAUUUUGGCAUACCUCAUAUUAUCUGCAUCAGUGAAGCUUCUUCACCAGAUCUUAAUCAUUUGGCAAAACUACUUAGAGGCUCCGUUCAAGGACUCACUCAUAGUUCUGAGCUCAAGCCACGGGAAGAAUAAUAUCUGCUUCUCAUUGAAUUCAAGUUUAUGAUUUCCAAGACUGGACCUCCCUUAAAAUAGCCAUUUUGUAUAUGUGUGUAUAGUGUUGAAGAUAACAUCACCAACUGAGCAUUUGUUUACACUAAGAAAAUGUAUUCAUAAAAAAUAGAAGUUUAACAAUAUUGGGUACUAUUAUCAAGGAUUAAAAUACUAAAAACUAACCCUGAAUUCAUUACCUGAUAUGUGCUAUUUAUCUCCAAAUUUAGUCAUAUCCUCCUUUUAUACAAAUUAUCUAUUCCAUACGAUAGUCUUACCUUUGCUAUUGUCCAUCACGAGCCACUGGCUUAGGAAUUUCCCAUAUUUUUCUGUAAUCCAAUAAUUAAAAUAUACCUGAUAUAUAUCAAUAUGUUUAGGGUUUGUAUUGGCUACAGAUUUGAGGAAUAAGGGUGUGUGAGUGUAUGCACGCAUGUGUGUGUGUGUGUGUGUGCUGUGUAUGCACAUUUGAUUUCUCUUUUGCUUGCUGACCAUCUGAUAUGAAGAUCUACAGGUGAGGCAAAGGUUAGAAAGGAUUACAGUUCUUAAAUAAGAGGGUUUUAGUUGUGAACAUGAUGUUUUGAGAGGUGAUUUUCAGACUGUUUUCCACAGACCAUAGCUCUUAAAGGUGUUUUGAGAGAUCCGUUGACACUUGAUUCCAAUUUAAUAUUUUAACUGUAUUAAUUGCUAAGGCAAACAUUCAAAUGUGUUAUAUAAUACAUUUUAAUACAUUGUAGACCACCAGCAUAUUGACUUUCGCUGCCAGGUUAAUUCAUUUUUGUGUAGGCCUUAAUGCAAAAAUUUUUCUUACCAUCACUGGGACUGUAUUUGAACUUGAAAACAUAAGUCAAUGAUUAAGAUGGUCUUAGCUCUGCGUUGGGUUUUCUUUUUUUGUAACUCACAUCUGUGCAUGUGUAUACACACACACAUAUACAAUACAAGGUUGCACUCCUAUUUGUCUGAGAGUUAGGAUGUCCUAUUUUCUAAACAACCUGGUAAAUUAUAAAAAUAAAUUGAAUGCCAAGGUUGAUGUGACUUCAACAGUCACCUAAAUUACUGUCUGAAAGUUUUGUGUGUGUCAAACAGAAUUUUCACAUAUUUUUUUACCUCGUCCACUUCCAUGCUGUUUGAACGUUUGCAAGAUAUAUAUGCCUUAUUAUUGUCAAAAAGAAAAAAAAUUAAAAAUUGUACUUAACAGUCAUGUUAAUUUUAACUGAUAAGUAUUCAGACCAUGGAUAUAAAUUGUUUUUUCAUCUCUUACUACAUUUGUGUACCUGGUAAGAAACUUAACAUUACCUCUCAUCUACCACUUCAG